AUUUAUAUAGUUUAAAUAAAACAUUACAUUUUCACUGUAAAAAUAAUAUUACUAUAUUUAUAAAUG
rnacentral:tRNA from 1 species